GUGGCUGCGUGCUCACACAUGUACUGAAAUUGGAUCCAUGCAGAGAAAAUUCCAGUAGACCCCUGUGCAUGGAUGAUGUGCAAAUUUGUGAAACGUUCUAAUAAAAA
rnacentral:snRNA from 1 species